rnacentral:sRNA from 1 species
AAAAAUUAUCUACAGCGGGGAUACUCACACACAUACACACCUGGCCAACCCGUUUAACAUUUGGCCUUACAACGAAAAAUGCAUUUGUUGCAAAAAAAAAAACAAGAAAAGAUAGACAAUGUGCACGCAACAUAGAUCGCCUGGCAAAAAAAAAUAUAGUACUGCGCCAACAAUAAUUUGGGCAAUUUUUCUUGUAAGUCCUGGGCAAUCAUCCAGUCCUGGUAUUAUGACCAAAGAGGCGGCCAGAGCUUACCCAAGCAGUGACAUGUGCUUCAUUACUUACUCCAUCCGGCCGAAUACAUAAUAUUCGGGGUGACGCCCUUUGCCACAGCAGGCCAAUAAAUGCAAGGCAGACAACUACAGAAAAACAAACCUACGUGUCAUGCCCGAUGAGCAGACGUCCUAUAUAAGCCCUCAGGCAUCAAUUGUACAAAUCGCACAUUCUGCGACCUCGUAUAUAAACAGAAGCAGGACAGGCAACUAUGACCAGUGGGCGUUAUGGAAAACCUGGGGCAAUGAAUGCAUGUCCAUUACCGGGAUCUUUCUUUUCCCAAAAUAAUGCAUUAUCUUUGUCGUUAUCUUAUUCAUCAUGUAUUUCCUCUGCCUUUAUGUGUCAUCAAUAAAAUAACAUAUCGAUUCGCA